rnacentral:piRNA from 1 species
UAAGCUUACAGACCAAUCAAAG